UACGUAGGUGGCGAGCGUUAUCCGGAUUUAUUGGGCGUAAAGCGUGCGCAGGCGGUUUGUUAAGUCUAAAAUUAAAGCCCGAAGCUUAACUUCGGUUCGUUUUAGAAACUGGCAGACUUGAGUAUGGUAGAGGCAAAUGGAAUUUCUAGUGUAGCGGUAGAAUGCGUAGAUAUUAGGAGGAACACCAGUGGCGAAGGCGACUUUCUGGACUGUACCUGACGCUGAGGCGCGAAAGCGUGGGUAGCGAACGGG
rnacentral:rRNA from 1 species